CAUGUGUAAUAUUUCUAUUAUAAGGACAAAUAUUGACCCUUGCAUUUGAUAAUUUUUAAAGAUAUUUAAGCUAACAUUUUCUCAGCCACAUUUUUAUAUAAAACCAAAUUUUAUGUAAAAACUAGGCUUCAAUAAGUUAAACUUUUUAAAUUGUAAGACAAAAUUUUUAUGUAAAAGAAUUCUUAUAUCCCAUCAAACCUAAUAAUUUUCCACAACUAAAAAUGAGUAUAAAUACAUAAUUUUAAGUGUAUCCUGUCAGGUCUGAUAUUUGGUUUUACUUUACUUAGAAGCUAAGUAGUUACUCUGUUACUUUUUCAUGGAUGCUAACAGAAGACAUGAGAUUCCUGGACAGAAACAAAGGACUGUUACUCAUGGCACAACAAGGAGUAUAAGCAUCAGCACAUUCUCAUUGCUUCCCUUGUCCCAGGUCCCGUGGGGACAAAAUGAUAUGGCCAUACACAAUAUGGCUACAUAUACAGCGGGCUUUAGUUGUAGGUAAAGGAUACUGAGCUUGGAGGGUUCACUGCUUUUUAUCCAUGAACAGAUGCAAACCUGCUCUUUGCCUUAUCCCUUACAGAUGCUCACUCAAAACUCAAUACUGAGAAAUGGCCCAGGUAUAGUACAGUCAAGGUCUUGCAUGGUAGCCACACCUAGCAAUAUGUGUAGGAAGGUGAAGUCUAUUGAGGGCUAUCUCACAUCUAACAGUUUCUUUACUAGGACCAGAAACCAUUUGAUGCAGACAAUAACCCCAACCUUAACAACUUCACAACAUGAAUAGAAAUAGUGAUAGAUAAUUCAUAGCUUUUUACAAAAGAAUAAUGAGGUAUAAUGGGGAAAUGUUUUGAUGCCAAAAAUAAAAGAGUUAAUAUUUGAAUCAGACUCCAACAGGACUCCUUAAAAUGAUACAAAUACAAAGCAAAUGAUACGUGUAAUUUAAAAUUUCCUAAUACACACGUUUUUUAUUUUUCUUUUUUGGGAUGGAGUCUUGCUCUGUCACCCAAGCUGGAGUGCAGUGGUACGAUCUCGGCUCACUGCAACCGCCGCCAUCUUAGUUCAAGGGAUUCUCCUGCCUCAGCCUCCUGAGUAGCUGGGAUUACAGGCAUGAGCCACUGCACCUGGCCCUGUAUACACAUUUUUAAAAAUAAAACUUUUUUAAAAAAGAAAGGGUUGAAACUAAUUUUAAUAAGAUUUUAUUUAACCAAAUAUAGCAAAAAUAUUACUUCAGCAUGUAAUCAGUAUUUUUUUAAUUAGUGAGAUAUUUAUGUUUUAUCUUGCCUUCAAAAUGCAGUGUAUUUUUUUACAUUAUAGCACAUCUCAAUUCAGAUGCUAAAUUUUCAUCAGAAAUAUUUGAUCCAUAUUUAAAUUUCCUAAAAUAUACAAUUGAGAAAAAGAGAUUCACAUACCCAGGUUGUUCUAGCAUGCCUAAAAAAUCUUGUAACUGGAUCAAGUAUCAGUUUUUAAAUUAGUUAAAAUUAAAUAAAAUUUAAAAUUUAGUUCCUCAGUCACACUAGCCAUAUUUCAAGUACUUGAAAGCUGCAAAUGGCUUGUGACUACCUUGCUGGACAGAGCAAGGUCCAACACUGAGAUAAUAAUGAUUCUUAAGGCCAUUUGAAAGUUGACAGCAAGUAUGUGUUACUGCUGUUGAAUUACAUGUUAUCUACAGGCAAUCGUAAGCCAUAUCUGUUGUGCAGCAUAGGCUUUCCAUUCUUUAUACAUCUAGGUCGUAGCGUUUUUCUAUUGAUAAAUCUGGAUGUUUAUAUACCAACAUUACUUUCUUACAACAUAUUCCAGUAUACAGUGUCCAUCUUCACCUACUUUUUAAAGUGGUCCUGAAACAAUUUUAUUCAUCUUAUUGGAGUGUUGCUGUAGGGGAAGAGUAGAAGCUAAGAAGAGUUUGAGUCCAACACCAUUAUAUUCAAACUGGAGUUGUAAGCUCCUUAAAAAUGGGGAUCUUGUCUGUCUUGUUCACAGUUGUGUUCCCAGCCCCAGAGGUAGUCUCAAGGCCAAUACCAAGUAUGCUCUCAAAUAUUUGCUGGGAAAAUUUACUAGCUGGAUAAAAGACAAGUUACUUUAAUCUCUUUAAUCUUCCUUUUUCCUUACAAAUGAAAGAGACUAAUAGUACUUACCUUGCAGCAUCAUUAUAAGAAUUAAAGUUGAUAAAUACAUGAUCAUGAGAACAAUGGCUAGCACAUAGCAGUCACUCUGAAAGUAGUAGCCAAAAUAUAUCAACCGCAUUGUUUGAUUAUUGUCGGCUCAAUUAAAAGUUGGCUUUUCCAAAUCCUCCAUUUGGAAUAAUUUUUAAAUAGCCAUAUUAAAAAUAAAGUUAUCAGAAAACCAA